AAGAACACGCACAAAUCAACCAUUGAGUACUUCAAAAAAAGAAAAGAUUAAGGUUUUGUAAUGACAUUCGCAAACCCUAAACUUCAAUAUUAUUGAAAAUCUCUAGGCUGAUCACAGACAGACACAACAUAAAAACAUUUCUGAACUAGAAGCAUUCUGGAGGAAGCGUGGAGUAAGACAACUGAAGCAAGAGAAGAAGGCCUGUUAGAUGGCUGCAAGUAGUGUUUGGAUGCUGUGAUUCCUGGC